rnacentral:lncRNA from 1 species
UUGAUCAAAACGAUAAGUCUAGAAUAGUUGCAUUAUUUGCAGAUUUUUUUCACUUCUCCUUGUAGUUAGUUAUACAUCUCUAGCUUAAUUUUUGUGAGCAUUACUUUGUCGUACAGUUAUUUGUAUCCUUGUACUCAGAAUUUGUCGCUACAUCUCAACAAUGUACUUUAGAAUGCAACCUCAAGCAUUGGCUUGGAUAUCCUUGAGCAUGCAACUUGAGUUUUGGUAUUGUAAUAUUGCUUAUGUUCUUCUCUAGCAAUGGCUUUCAUUAAAGAAUGUAUGAAUAAUCCAACAAUGUAUUCUACUCCAUAUUAAUGUCAAUCAGUUUUACAAGCUUGGCUGCACUUUCAAACUUUUU